GAUGAACGCUGGCGGCGUGCCUAAUACAUGCAAGUCGAGCGAACAGAUGAGGCGCUUGCUCCUCUGACGUUUGCGGCGGACGGGUGAGUAACACGUGGAUAACCUCCCUAUAAGACUGGGAUAUCUUCGGGAAACCGGCGCUAAUACCGGAUAAUCUCUUGCACCGCAUGGUUCGAUAGUGAAAGUCGGUUUUUCUGUCACUUAUAGAUGGUUCCGCGCCGCAUUAGCUAGUUGGUACGGUAACGGGUUACCAAGGCUACGAUGCGUAGCCGACGUGAGAGAGUGAUCGGCCACACGGGAACGUAGACGCGGUCCAGACGCCUACGAGAGGCAGCAGUAGGGAAUCGUCCGCAGUAGGCGGGAGCCUGACGGAGCGGCGCGGCGUGAGUUAUGAAGGUCUUCGGAGCGUAAAACUCUGUUAUGAGUGAAAAACAAAUGUGUAAGGAACUGUGCACGUCUUGACGGUACCGAAUCAGAAAGCCACGGCUAACUACGUG
rnacentral:rRNA from 1 species